ensembl:lncRNA
GGGAGAAGAGCUGCUAGUUCACGGCUACAGCGAAUGAACCAGAAGCACGCACCAUCUGCAGAGUGGGGAGAGAACAUGGGAGCAGAAAACGCUGAGCUUUUACCAAUGACCUUUUUAGGACAAAUCACAAGUAUACGAAUUGAAUUGUUUUUUUUAAGGAUCUGUGUUUGUUCAUCUGAAAGUUUGCAAGAUUACUUGGAUUUGAAGGAGAUAAGGUCUUCUUGACUACAUGACCACAGUUGGUGUCAGCAAAAUCAAGACGUUCCCUUCCUAUGCUGAAUCGUAGGUCUACAGAUCCGGUCACACUUUCUACCUUCACCUGUGCAGUAAAGACUGAGAGCAGAGCUGAAACCAACCAUUCAAUCAACAAGCAGCAUCAACAACUGACCUUCAUUCAGACUCUGUUAUUGAGGAUGAUUUUCUACCACGACAAAAGUUUUUCCAUUUAAAUGGAGGCUUGGGGUGGCAAGCAGCAGACUGGAAACGAGCCGGCUGAAGCUCAGAGGUUUCUCCACCUUAAAGAGAAGCAGAUGUUCCUGUGAGAUGCAGGACAAGAACGUCUAAACGCCCUCACCAUGGUGUCAUGGAGAGGAGCCACCUCCUUCCUUACUCCUUACACCUCUUUACUUUAGUCCUUCAGUGUCUUCUCCUUCCUUCCUAUUAUCUCCAUCAAGCUUCUAUCUCUUUAUCCCUCUUUCUCACCUCCUCUUUUUUCCUUUGUUGUCUCCUUCCUUUACUUAUUUCCUUGUGUCCUUGCUUUAUCUUCCACUCACCUCCUCCUUCAAUUCUGCUUCCUUUCAUCAGUACCUUGUCUCCUCCUCCUUACGCUUUUCUCUUUCCUCUGAGUCUUCCUCAAUGAGAUGAGCCCAUUUUAAAAUUUUAUAGUGAAAUUUUAAAUUUUUGGUUUAAUUUUUGGUUCUCACAGCCACUUUAUUGAACAUGGAGUUUCCUCUCAGUGCAUCGUGUUUUUAUUGGACUUGAAACUCAUUCUGGAUAUUUGGCCUCAUGAUUGUCGUCUUGCUCUCUACAUAAUUUGUACUGUUUGAAGCUCGAGCAGCUCAUCAAAUUGAAGUGUUUUUAAUUUGAUGAAGGGCGAGUCAGACGCUUGAUUGAAGCUGGUGUUAGUGAUGAUUCUUAUUGCUCUCUGUUGGGAUAUAUGUAUUGGUUGGAAACACUCUUCAUUAAGGAUGCAACCUGUCACUGCAGUUCUUCACUUUGACCACCUGAGGGCAGUAAGUUGUCAUCAGUCAGUAUCUCUCUGCUGAUGUCAGUGUUUCAG